GGAUUAGGCAUGCAAGUCGCGGGAAUCCCCAGCAAUGGGGGGAACCGGCGUAAGGGGCAGUAAGGCAUGGGUGACCUACCCGGCGGUUGGGCAUAGCCCGUAGAAAUACGGGGUAAUUCCCAGCGAUGUCGCAAGACCAAAGCUCCGGCGCCUCCGGAGGGGCCCAUCUAGUAUUAGCUAGUUGGUGGGGUAACGGCCCACCAAGGCAAAGAUGCUUAGCGGGUGUGAGAGCACGACCCGCGCCACUGGCACUGAGACACUGGCCAGACACCUACGGGUGGCUGCAGUCGAGGAUCUUCGGCAAUGGGCGCAAGCCUGACCGAGCGACGCCGCGUGUGCGAUGAAGGCCUUCCGGUUGUAAAGCACUGUCGAGGGGGAGAAAGCCGAAAGGUUGAUCUAUCCCUGGAGGAAGCACGGGCUAAGUUCGUGCCAGCAGCCGCGGUAAGACGAACCGUGCGAACGUUGUUCGGAAUCACUGGGCUUAAAGGGCGCGUAGGCGGGCUGCAAAGUCCGGGGUGAAAUCCUCCCGCUCAACGGGAGAACGGCCUCGGAUACUUGCGGUCUCGAGGGAGGUAGGGGCGUGCGGAACUAUGGGUGGAGCGGUGAAAUGCGUUGAUAUCCAUAGGAACUCCGGUGGCGAAGGCGGCACGCUGGACCUUUUCUGACGCUGAGGCGCGAAAGCCAGGGGAGCAAACGGGAUUAGAUACCCCGGUAGUCCUGGCCCUAAACGAUGAGAACUAGGUAGUAGACUUGACAUGGGUUUACUGCCGAAGCAAAGUGCUAAGUUCUCCGCCUGGGGAGUAUGGUC
rnacentral:rRNA from 1 species